rnacentral:rRNA from 1 species
GGAGUUAGCCGGUGCUUCUUCUGCGAGUAACGUCACAGAUGUAAGGUAUUAACUUACACCCUUUCCUCCUCGCUGAAAGUGCUUUACAACCCGAAGGCCUUCUUCACACACGCGGCAUGGCUGCAUCAGGGUUUCCCCCAUUGUGCAAUAUUCCCCACUGCUGCCUCCCGUAGGAGUCUGGGCCGUGUCUCAGUCCCAGUGUGGCUGAUCAUCCUCUCAGACCAGCUAGGGAUCGUCGCCUAGGUGAGCCUUUACCUCACCUACUAGCUAAUCCCACCUGGGCUUAUCCAUCAGCGCAAGGCCCGAAGGUCCCCUGCUUUCCCCCGUAGGGCGUAUGCGGUAUUAGCAGUCGUUUCCAACUGUUAUCCCCCACAAAUGGGCAAAUUCCCAGGCCAUUACUCACCCGUCCGCCGCUCGUCAUCUUCAAAAGCAAGCUUUUGAAAUGUUACCGCUCGACUUGCAUGUGUUAGGCCUGCCGCCACGCGUACAUCUGAGCGAGAUACAACUACUCGA